rnacentral:lncRNA from 1 species
AUGGGGGCAAAAUCUCACAAAGGCUUUCUGAGGCAAUUAGGUACCCCAAAGGAGUAUUCUGGUUUGUGGCUUCAAGUCACAGUCUUCAGCUUGGCCUUCUUGGACCUUUUAUUUACUUUUAGGACUUUACUUCCUACUGGAGCCCAGAGGAAGCAGCAAGAGGAUGGCAGAAAGCCAGACUCCUCCACGAGUAAUUGGACUGUGAUGCUUUCCUUGCCACAUCUCAACAUGUGCUCAUUUGAGUAUCUUCUAAAAGCCACAAAACAAGUAAGAAUUAGGCUACAGUACCACUAUACGAUUAGCAUUUUAUCUUGAUGAACUAAUGUCUCAAGAUAGUUUAGGAAAAGACAUGAGAUCUUUGUAACAUGCAUGGCCAGAGAAUAUUCUAGAAAUUGAAUAGCUAAAGGCUUGUAUUCUGUAUGUAUUGUAAAGUGUAACCUUCAACUAUGAGACUAUGAACAUAGAAGCCAGGUAACAGAACAAAUGCUUUCUAUUCUGUUGUCUUGGAAAAUAGGAGAGAUUUUUUAAUAAUUCAUGUGAGGUUUGUAUUCCCUAGAUUCUCUUCUGAGACCAAAAGACCCUCUCCAGAGCCAGCAAAUUCACAUUUCAUCCAGAGGCAUUAUUAUGCUUCAUUGUCAACAAUUCUAGUCUUGCUUUCUUCUCUUAGGUUGGAAUCCCUUUUCUCCAGGGAAACUUGGUCUAGUGUGGCCCUUCUAUGCCAUUCUUGGUUACAUGCUAGCCGUCACCCUAUGUACACUUCUGGCUUAGGCUUUCCUGUUGGUGUACAUCACAAAAGCUCAUCUGAUUGAGAGCUUUGGGGCAUGAAGCUUCAUGAUCGAACACAGCAAUACUGACUAACCAACACACAAUUUCAAGGAGGAAAGAGAAAGGAAGUUGAUAGAGGAGUGAAGGCCUUGGUUAGAAAAGCAGCUGCAGCCCAUCAACUUUGGAAGCACCCCAGAGCCUGCACACUGAGGCUCUGCCCCACAAGAGCUGUUCCAAUUUUCCUAACUGUCCCAGAUAAGCUCACUUUCCGUAUUUACCCCUGUGGAAUUCGGUUGGUUUGGUUCAAAAGACUUUCUCUUGCCUGAAGCUUCUAGUUGCAGCUUUUGGGUUUGGAUUUUAUGGUGACCAUCACAAAGAUACUGCCACUUUAAGCCCUCUCACUUGAGAAUUCAAAGCUGUGAUGUUGCAUGACACCUCUAUAUAAAGACAUUGAUGCCACCAUCCC